rnacentral:misc_RNA from 1 species
GAACAAUUUCAACAUUUGGGUCCAAACCAUGGUUCUCUAACCGCUGACUGGGUAAGUUCAAUGGUUUUGGGACAGCCACUUUUCCAAGGACAGUCAUGCCACCUCUUCUUGCAGAAACCCACCUUCUCUCCCCUGCCAACAUAUUUGAAGUCAUUAUCCAAAUAUUGAUCUACGUUCAUCCAAACAGCUUCACAACCUAAUUCAGCUAGAAUCAAACGAAAAAAAAAGAAUUGAAUCGGAUCUGCGAGAAGCUCCGAUCUGCAACAGGUAAAUAUAAGUGUUUUUGUGUAUUUUAGAGAGGCGAUGAUGAGUGUGUGUGAAUUUGUUAGUAAUCUUUUUUUGGAUUUGAAGGGGAAAGAGAUCGAAGGAGGAGAACAGAGAGAGAAAAGGGGGAAGUGGAGAAGAAGGGAGAAUAAGG